rnacentral:rRNA from 1 species
UAGUCUACGCCGUAAACGAUGGUUACUAGCUGUUUGGACCAAUUGAGGUCUGAGUGGCUAAGCGAAAGUGAUAAGUAACCCACCUGGGGAGUACGUUCGCAAGAAUGAAACUCAAAGGAAUUGACGGGGGCCCGCACAAGCGGUGGAGCAUGUGGUUUAAUUCGAUGAUACGCGAGGAACCUUACCAGGGCUUAAAUGUAGUCUGACAGGGGUGGAAACACCCCUUCUUCGGACAGAUUACAAGGUGCUGCAUGGUUGUCGUCAGCUCGUGCCGUGAGGUGUCAGGUUAAGUCCUAUAACGAGCGCAACCCCUGUUGUUAGUUGCCAGCGAGUAAUGUCGGGAACUCUAACAAGACUGCCGGUGCAAACCGUGAGGAAGGUGGGGAUGACGUCAAAUCAUCACGGCCCUUACGUCCUGGGGCCACACACGUGCUACAAUGGUAGGGGACAGAGAGCAGCCACACGCGAGUGGGGAGCGAAUCUACAAACCCUAUCACAGUUCGGGAUCGGGAGUCUGCAAC